rnacentral:snoRNA from 1 species
UUUGGGAAAUGAUGACAAAGAUACGAAAUCUCUAAGGCUUAAUGCUCUGCAGAUAAAAAUGUAUUUGCACGUCAGUCUGAUCCCUUU